UCCGGAACUCGGGGCCGGGGUUGUGGCGCCGGCGCCCGCGUCCUCCUCUGAGCGCCAUUUUUGUCGCUGGUGGGGGUAGUGGGGGAGGGGUGGAGUUGUUCCCUCAGCUGUGAGCAGGGAUGUGGGAAUGGGUUUCACUGUUCAUGAAUCGAAAGGAACUGGAUGCACAUUCAGUAUUUCCAGCUUUUAUUGGCAGCUCUCUUCAGGCAGUGGAUUGUGUGGUGUUUGUUGAUGCUGAGUAGAAGUGUAAAGAUCAGAGUAGCACAGCAGCACUCCAGCAGUGAGAUUUUGAGCCAAGCCAACAUCUUUCAUAUCACUAAAGACCAGACCAGAUGGUGUUGCCCUGCUGGUUGGGAGAGUGGUGACUUGGUGCUACAUUGCUGUUAGUGGACUUUGACCUCCCAGGCGUACAAGUUUUGUGUUACUCGGACAUCUGAUCUGCAGCCAUUUUGGAAUAUAACGUUUAUAGAGGAAUUUUUUUUAUUUAAAGGAAAGUCAGAGAGCAAACAAGAAUUGACAACAUUGCAAUUCAGAGGUGUUCAGAUGUGUUCUGCAAAGCAAUUGUUCCAAAAAAUGAUAGAAAAUAAACUGGAUAUUUUUGUUACCUGCAAUAUAUUUUCAGUAGGAAAGUAUUGAUAAGUACAUACUAGUUAAAGUCAAAUAAAAAUUCUGAACUGGACAGUUCUCUUCAGGA